rnacentral:misc_RNA from 1 species
UAGUGGCAUGCUAAUUGCGAGUUCGGCGCCACGCCAACUUUCACUGCUGUCCAUCAUCACAACACUGUAGCUUUCCGCCACGGCGGGGAACGUUCGACACGGAUAGCGCUGCCAACUCAUGUCUGCUGAGCAGCCGGCGAGUGAGCGAAUCCCGCUGGUUCGGCGCGCGUGGGAGCGUUGUGUAGCGCGUCUCCUUCCCCUCUCGCUUACUGGCACACCGACACCGUCGUCGCGCAGGCUUCGUGAUGUGUCGGAGGGGCACUUCCGCCGCUUUAUCUACGACCGCUACACGGAGCCGCAGCGGCACUACCACACCCUCGAGCAUCUGGAGGAGAUGCUGGGGCAGCUCGUCACUUAUGAAGCAGAGCACGGCUGGCACGGUGCGUGCAUACCAGCAAUGGUAGAGGAGUCAGUCUCGUCGUCGGCUCCGCCGUCGGAGCUGUUGACAGGCGCGGACAGAGUAACGUACGAGUGGACUGGCACGGUGCUGCUUCUGUCUGUUCUCUUUCACGACGUUGUCUACGAUCCAACCCGCGGCGACAACGAAGAGGCAAGCGCGGCGGUCGCUGCGGAGUUCCUCCAGGAAAUGCAGCGUGAGAGCGAGGUCGCCAGCAGCUCUUCAUCGGCAGCAGCAGCGGCGGUGAGUGCUGCUGCACUGACCAGCGUGGCUGGCGCGUCUGCUCUGCCUUCCGCGAGUGGCGCCACGUGCGCUGAGGAUGAUGCGAGUCCGCAGCACCCUCCUCGCUACUCGUCUGCCCCGCCGCUUCUCUGGGCCGACGCACAGGCGAUUGAGUUUGUACGCAACUCUACGACAACGUACAUACUGAAGACGAAGGAGCACCUCUCGGUUGAGCCGAAGCAGCCGCUGCACCUGCCAUCCUCUCCCGCAGAGGCUUUCACGUUAGCAGAGCGGGGGGUAGUGAGUGCUGUCGUACAGCAGAGCCGCGACGACCCGCUGCAUGUGUUUCUGGAUCUGGACCUGGCUAUUCUCGGACACCCGGACGCCGACACGUAUCGCCACCGCUACGCCGACAACAUCCAGCGCGAGUACAGCCACUAUCCCCGCGCCGACUUCUUGAAGGGACGUGCUGGCUUCCUGAACGUCUUUGCGCAGCACCCGCAGUGGUACAAGACACCGUACUUCUUCUACCGACUUGAGGCGCACGCUCGACACAACGCAGCGCAGGAGGUGAAGACGUUGACUGCCGAACUGGCAGAUGUGCAGAUGGCAUCCUGACGCUGCGCUUAUUUUGGUGUACCGCGAGGGCACUGAAACAGAGAAAAGGUGGAGGAGGAAGCCGAAUCGUGGUGUGACGCGGCAUCGGCGUUAGCGUAUGCUUGUAUAUGUCGACCCCAAGUUGCAGCACGUGCGGCGGCCCUUCGCAAGGAGCGCUGAGUUGCACCAAUCAACCUAGACCCCCCCUCCCGCUCCUUGUCAUUGCCCUUCUCUCGUAAGGCACCCUUCCUCCAACCACCAACGCCGCUAGCAGUGACCAGUACAUGACCACCGGCAAAAACAUUGUGGCUACUCUUUUUGUUCUACGGACUCUCGUCCGCUUGCACGUUAGGCACACAC